GGGAGAGAGUGAAGGGGUUGAGCAAAGGGAGUAGGGAGGGAGGGAGGGAGUUGAGUAAAGGGAGAGAGUGAAGGGGUUGAGCAAAGGGGGGAGGGAGGGAGUUGAGUAAAGGGGUGCAUAUCAGAUUUAGGGGAAUAGUAGAAUGAGUAGUUAGAGGGAGGACAACACAGAUGUAACCAGCCAUUUGAAUGUGAAGUUUGAAGGCUAGCUGGGUUUCUAUUUUACCAGGCAGGGAUGGCCAUUAUCUUAAACAAAACAAACUGGCAGCAUUUCUGCUUCUACUGUGUUUUUGUGAGUAUACAACAUAUCUCACCUAGGCUGGUUUGUGGUACAGUAACAUGGAGGUGCUGUACUCUCACAUUCCAUACCUUGUUUAAGUCACUAGGAUCUAAACUUGUACUUUUAUGACAAACUACAAACAAAUACACAACAAUAACCCCCUGCUUCUAAGUGAAACAUACAGUAGCAAAAAAAUAUGGUGCAAUAAUGGACAACUCUUUAAUAUAGUUUUCUGGUAUUGAACAUCAGCAAAAUGUAACAGUGACUUGAUUCUUGUACAAUUAAUGUAGUUAGAUAGGUUGUAUUAAAUACGUAUACUGUUCUUUCUAAUAAAUGUAAAGUGAUCUUUAACUUCAAAUAUAUUAAUCACACUGUGUCAACCUUAUAGCUUUAUAGUCCUUCUGACAGUUGACAACAAAAAGUCCUCUAAUGUGAGAUUAGUCGUCAUAAAGAUGGGACAUAAGAUAUCACACUAUAUAUUCCUCCAUUAUUGUAAUUAGACAUCAUGACAAAGUUGAGAAUUAGACCGUUGAACAUCCUAGGCCCCAGUUUGUCAACAGAAAAUGAAGACCAACCAGAUCCUGGCUUUGGUCCAACUCUUUAUUUUGAUGCAACAUACUCAGACAGAAUCCCUUUAGCCAAAAGUGGUGCCAGUCCUACAGUGGCCUUCCCAUUAGAGAGAAAGAGAAAGAGUUUUAGUUCUGAAAAAAAGUUUGUGUUAGCGCAUACAACACAAAAAGCUUUGAAAGUGUUAAAAAAGGCUUAGAUUAAAACAAGGGAGAUAGUGCUAUUUAAAUCCAGCAGUUGGCUUGAAACCCCUUAAAGCUUUACAGAAGCACUGCAUGCUUUCGGACAUGCUUGGGAAUGAAAUGCUUUGCUCAGGUACUUUCCAUGCUAUUGGCGAUUAAAAAAUAUAUAUAUAUAUUGGCUCUCACAAGUAAAAGUGAAAACACUUAGAAAUCAGGUCAAUGACUAAACUCUAAAUGCAACCAGUCACCACCACUGAAAGCUUGUUCCUAAUGGAGGACAUACUAAACAGAAUUUUCACUAGAGGAAACACCAAAAAAAACACAGAAUUAUAUCUCUGUUGUGAUUCACCCCAAAAUAAAAAAUAAUUUGCACUUCAUUGAAUUAAAUAUGUUAGGGGUUAUCAACAGUUUGCGGGGUGAAAGGCACUUGGUUUAAUGCAUGCUGAUUUUCUAAGUAAUUUGCAAUAGUAGGCCCACAUUAUGCUGUGAAACACUUGGACACAAAAAGAAUGGCACUUCAGAGAGGUCAUGCUAUAUGUUACUGAUAUGCAACUGCACCUCGCUCAUUCUAAAUAUGUAUUAUAUAACAAAACAACUCAGGUCUCCUUAUUAAGGAUCAUGUCAAAGUUGGGAAAAUUAAAAGGCAGAACUUUGGCAUAUAAGAACAUGAAUGGAGAAGUGAUAUCCUUAUUAUCCAGGAGAAUUAGUUAGGGGCAUUGGUUAGAGGUAGUGUCAUAGGUCAUGUAGCAUUGGUUAGAGGUAAUGUCAUAGGUCAUGUAGCAUUGGUUAGAGGUAAUGUCAUAGGUCAUGUAGCAUUGGUUAGAGGUAAUGUCAUACUGCAGGUCAUGUAGCAUUGGUUAGAGGUAAUGUAGCACCUUGAGAAGAUUUUGUUUUUGUAAAUAAACUAGUAAAUAAAUAUGUCUCUCUCUAUAUAUUUGCAGUACUUUAGCACAGAAGAAAAUAGGAUGUCAUGUAAAUGCAAUUUUUUUUAUGGUGAUUAUUUCGCACAGUUGUACCUAACUAGGUCCACAUUGUGGUGGUCUAUGCUGGAAUAAUAAAUUGCUCGUAAAUCCUGUUCUUUUCUGUUUCCUGUGUGUGACAUUAAUCAAAGUUUAACUUCAACUCCUCUUACAUGAUUCCAUAUGUG
rnacentral:lncRNA from 1 species